rfam:Salmo salar isolate Sally breed double haploid chromosome ssa16, whole genome shotgun sequence.
UGCAUUCACUACUGUAAGUCACUCUGGAUAAGAGCGUCUGCAAAAUGACUGAAA